rnacentral:rRNA from 1 species
GAUGAACGCUGGCGGCGUGCCUAAUACAUGCAAGUCGAGCGAACGGACGCGAAGCUUGCUUCUCUGAUGUUAGCGGCGGACGGGUGAGUAACACGUGGAUAACCUACCUAUAAGACUGGGAUAACUUCGGGAAACCGGAGCUAAUACCGGAUAAUAUUUUGAACCGCAUGGUUCAAAAGUGAAAGACGGCCUUGCUUUCACUUAUAGAUGGAUCCGCGCUGCAUUAGCUAGUUGGUAAGGUAACGGCUUACCAAGGCAACGAUGCAUAGCCGACCUGAGAGGGUGAUCGGCCACACUGGAACUGAGACACGGUCCAGACUCCUACGGGAGGCAGCAGUAGGGAAUCUUCCGCAAUGGGCGAAAGCCUGACGGAGCAACGCCGCGUGAGUGAUGAAGGUCUUCGGAUCGUAAAACUCUGUUAUUAGGGAAGAACAUAUGUGUAAGUAACUGUGCACAUCUUGACGGUACCUAAUCAGAAAGCCACGGCUAACUACGUG